rnacentral:rRNA from 1 species
GACGAACGCUGGCGGCGUGCUUAACACAUGCAAGUCGAACGGAAAGGCCCUGCUUUUGUGGGGUGCUCGAGUGGCGAACGGGUGAGUAACACGUGAGUAACCUGCCCUUGACUUUGGGAUAACUUCAGGAAACUGGGGCUAAUACCGGAUAGGAGCUCCUGCUGCAUGGUGGGGGUUGGAAAGUUUCGGCGGUUGGGGAUGGACUCGCGGCUUAUCAGCUUGUUGGUGGGGUAGUGGCUUACCAAGGCUUUGACUGGUAGCCGGCCUGAGAGGGUGACCGGCCACAUUGGGACUGAGAUACGGCCCAGACUCCUACGGGAGGCAUAAGUGGAGAAUGUUGCACAAUGGGCGGAAGCCUGAUGCAGCAACGCCGCGUGCGGGAUGACGGCCUUCGGGUUGUAAACCGCUUUCGCCUGUGACGAAGCGUGAGUGACGGUAAUGGGUAAAGAAGCAACGGCUAACUACGUG